CUGGCCAACUGCAUCUUCGAUAGCGGCCAUUUUGAUCAUAUUGACGAUGAAAAGGUACAAUGCGAGUGCUUUGAACAUCUACACGGCAACGGACACUACUGCACAGGGUAUCAAAGAAUUGAUUUCGAUCAUGGACCUAAAACUGUUCUUGGAAACUUCAAUUUGAUUGUUGGCGAUGUUACUGUCUUGUUUGAUCAACAUGUGUAUCAACGGAAUGACGACGACACAGGCAGGGGUUCAGAAUUGCACUGCGUGAC